rnacentral:rRNA from 1 species
UAGUCAAUGCUCGAAAGAGUGAACUAGCUAACUGAAAUCAAUUAAAAAAUUGAUAACAUAAGGGAAAAUAAUGAUAUUACCUUAUUAUUAGUGUCGUCCAAAACUGGUGCCAGAAGACUCGGUAAGGCCAGAGACACAAACGUUAAUCGUCUUAAUCAGGCGUAAAGGGUUUGUAGGCGGCUUUUAAUUAAUUUUAUAAAUUUUAAAUAAAAAUAAAUAAAUUAAGAAUAAAAGCUAGAAUCAAAUAGAGGAUAUAUGAAAUAAUGCUUAGAGUAGGUCUGAUAUCCUUAAAUACUAAGUAGAAUAUUAAAGGCGAAAGCUUUUUUCCAUUAAUGAUUGACGCUCAGAAACGAAGGUGAGGAUAGGAAAUAGGAUUAGAUACCCAAAAUACCCCUCUCUGUCAACGAUGAAUGGUAGUUAUUAGUAAUAAAUUUAUUAAUGAGAAUGUUAACACGAUAACCAUUCCGCCUUGUGAGUACAACUGCAAAGUUGAAAACAAAAAAAUUAGUCGGUUUCGGAGCAAACGAAGUGAAGCAUGUUAUUUAA